GAUGAACGCUGGCGGCGUGCUUAACACAUGCAAGUCGAACGAGAAGUGGAGACGGAAACCUUCGGGCGGAAGACUUUAUUUCGAGUGGCGGACGGGUGAGUAACGCGUGGGUAACCUGCCUCAUACAGGGGGAUAACAGUUGGAAACGACUGUUAAUACCGCAUAAGACCACAGCACCGCAUGGUGCGGGGGUAAAAACUCCGGUGGUAUGAGAUGGACCCGCGUUCGAUUAGCCAGUUGGCGGGGUAACGGCCCACCAAAGCGACGAUCGAUAGCCGAUCUGAGAGGAGGACCGGCCACAUUGGGACUGAGACACGGCCCAAACUCCUACGGGAGGCAGCAGUGGGGAAUAUUGCACAAUGGGGGAAACCCUGAUGCAGCGACGCCGCGUGAGUGAAGAAGUAUUUCGGUAUGUAAAGCUCUAUCAGCAGGGAAGAAAAUGACGGUACCUGAGGAAGAAGCCCCGGCUAACUACGUG
rnacentral:rRNA from 1 species